GCCUGGCUGGCCUAGUUGGUGGAGCACGUGACUCUUGAUCUCGGGGUUGUGAGUUUAAGCCCCAUGUUGGGUG
rnacentral:tRNA from 1 species